AUUUACACUGUGGAAACUGGCAAAUGCCACACAUCAGGGCUUCACAUUUCUUCUGAGUCUCAAAAAUGCCAUGGAGAAAACCAAAGGGAAAAGGAGUCUGAGAGCAAAGGAAUCAUUUCUGAAGUCUCUGAUAAUAUGGAAGGAAACAAGGAUCCUCAGAUGUCACCAUAACCCUGGAUAGACUUGCUUUUAUUAGAUAGCAAACUGUGAUCCUCUGUCCUAGUAUAUUUCAAGGAAUAUUUUAAUUAAAAUGUGUUCAGCAUGUAUGAGUUAGCAUACUGGAAAUGUCAUUUUAACAGAAAAACUUUCAUAUACUUUGUGGCUGUGAACCAAGGAGUCAGUCACAAAUGGAAGCUACAAC
ensembl:lncRNA